UGUUAGUAGGGUGGCUGCAGUUUAUUUAGAACGGGAUAUUGUAGUGCGCGCGUCCCUCCUGACGCACGACUGCGCGAGAGUGGCCGCGAGUUCCACCGGAUGUUUACUCUAUAUACAUAGUGUAGAGGUGGGGGGGAAUGGUUGAAGAGUGUGAAGGGCAUCGGAAGGAAAGUCGACAAAAAAACUGCACACACUCACACUGACAUGCGAACGAACAACAUGAUCAUCAUCGCUGUAAAGUAGUCCAGAGUCCGGGUUGAAAUCGUGAUUGGCAGUCCCCCCAGCCCUCUCUGCUCUCUUGGCGUGUAAAUUGAAGCCUCAUGCCUCAUGGUGGUGGUACUUUCAUUCACAGAUUUCUGUCCACUUUGUUGUGCGCUUCCGAAGGGGGGGGGGGCACAAAUGCGGGAAGUAAAAUAAGAAGCACGCAAAAGGAGCGUGUCGUUGAGUAGGCUGUGCAGCGCUGAUUAUCUCAAGCUAAAUGGGCAGUGUGUGUGUGUAAGUAGGCGCCCAUGGGUUUGCCGCACAGAGGUCGAAAGUACAGAUACGGAGCGAGGAGCCGUGACCCAUUCCCUGGUGUGUUGGUUUGGGUGUACGACGUGCAAUGACGUCCUCUUUUCGGUGCGCUUGUGUGUGUGGCUGGAUUGUGUUUCUUCUCAAUACAUUGUAGCUUGAGUGCUGCUGCUCCAUGGCGGAUGUGCCUUACAUAGCGCAGAAAAGGAACGCGCACCCGUGAAGAGGAGCAGUGGAAAUGUGCUGCUGCGCCUACUUUGAUGUUUCGAAACGUGGCGAUGUGUGGUGGUGGUGUGGUGGUGCCUGCCUUCAAGUGAAGAAGGGGAGAGCAUUACCGACCCGCUAAUUCAUGAAUUUCCUGUUCGUGUGCGUGCGUCCGUGCGGUGAUGUAUUGCUGCAUCUUGAAAGGAAGUCGUCCUGCUUCGCGGCUUAUACCUGCAAUCAUAAUUUUGACACAUUUUUAACGAGAAAAGCUCCGCACGGGUGUGUUAUUUUUCGUCCAGGUGUGGAGGAGGAGAAGUAGCAGGAGCAAGGCACGAUCGCCGCUGGUUUGGUUAGCGCGCGGGUAUAAAAGCAUAAAUCAACGCUGCUAAAUCUAAUCAGAAACACCAUCCCACUGCCACCCGCCCCCUGGUCACCUUCUUGCGAUCGCUUCGAUCAUCAUCAAGUCCAUUGAGGGUUGCUGCUGGUGUUGCUGCUGUUGCCGUGUGCCUCGGCUCUCCACCUAACGAUCGCAGAGGGCCAGUCGGGGAAUGGACAGGCGAAUUUCUUCAUCAAUUAGCCUGUCAGCUACACCAACGGCGCGCGGGAGGAGUAGCUACGUCGUCGGCGGGUGAUGAAGAAGGGGGGGUGGAGGAUAGAGAGAGAGUGCACAUUCCAUUCGCGCAGCAGCAGAGCUCGGUGGAUGGAUGGAGAGCUGUUGUUCGGAUGAUGGCUUUCCCGACCCCGGAACGCCGCAACCAUGUUGCUGCUGAUGCUGCUGCUUCUGCAACCCUUCAUCGUGUGUGUAUUUGCUUGUAACUGCUCAUGCACGUAAAAACACACAACACUACCCGAGACUCGAGGUGUUGGUGGUAGGUUCGUGUUUAAGGGGAGCGCUUCCUUUUUGGCCCCAGCUCUGUGAGGCCCAGAAGAAAACUGCUGGCCAGCCACGAAAUCAAUUCGCUGGCAACAGACACACCGCUCCUGGUAGCAGCAGCAGCAGCAGCAGCAGUUCGUCGACCCGCGCGGGCACGACGUUGCAUUCCAUUGGUGGAGCAAAGAGAGAGAGAAUAGGGCGGCUGCGCGCCUGUGUGUCACCACGCACACAGCUCCCCAGUGAAACGAGUCUCUCUGUCUCUGUUUCGGUGCUUUGUGUGUGUGUGUGUGGUGGUCGUAGCCAUUGACUUUCUUUGACCGCGAAAGCUCCCAAAGCCUGCGCAGACAUCAAUUCUGGCGAUAAGAGGGAAUAGCGCAUGGGAACGGAAGCAGCAGACACACGGGGGAAAGGAGUGGUGGACUCCAAUGGGUUCCCUUUCCUCAAGAAUUUCUCCCAAUAUGUCCCGUUUCGAUGUGUGUGUGUGUGUGUGUCGGUGCUGAGAUUGAAGUGUUGAUGGUGUGCUGAUCAUCGUUAAAAGUUGAAGGACCCACCGAUCCUGUUUCUUCAUGUGUCUGUUGAUUUGGUUGUGAUUUAGUCGUCGGGAUUGGUAGGAGAGGGUGUGUGUGUGUGGAUGAAAUGUAAUCACAGAACCGGUUUUCAUUUUCGAUCUGACUUAUUUUUUUCACAAACAAGUGAGAUCACUUUGAAAGCUGAUUUUGUACAAUUAAUUCAACGAGACCCAAACCACACAAAUCAACCACACCCGCGUCAUGUUGCCAAAAGGAAUGGGAAAAAUGAAGUGAGAGCGAAUAUACAAAAAUAUGUGUGUGCGUGACAGCAAAAUGUUGGUAAAAUUAUGAAGAUUGGUGAUCUAUGUAGCAAUACAUACUUAAAAGAAGCAGGUGAGUAUAUUGAUCAUCAUCAUCAGCGCUUUUUUUUUUCUUCUUUUGCAGAUACAAAAAAACUUAAAAUUAAAUCCCAAAAAAUGAUCCCAUUAAAUGAUCUUCGGAAGAACUUGUGGCACAACGAUCAGCAGAGGACUCGAGGUACUCAGACACGGACAUGCUAUAUAUUAACCUUAGUUCCUGUACGUGCUCCUUCACCACAUUCUUCAUCCAGGUCCCUUUAUCCUUACAGGGUUUAACAGGAGAUCCCAUAGUUGUGGGACACUUUGUUGACUCUUUGCUAUAUGAAAUGAGCUUAAUGUAAUGGGAAUUGAACUCUAUAGCACUCUUGUUAAACAAAUCCAAUAGGAAUAUACAAGGAGCAUGUCCAGAAAGGGUGACAUAGAGUCCAAUUUCCACCAUAUGAAAUUUAUUUCCCAUAAGAAAGAGUCAAGGAAGUGUCCCACAACUAUUAGAACCCCUGGAAAACCCUGUAUUGGAGAUUUCGUUUGACUUUUUUGCUCUCGCUCUCAGUAGUAGGCAAUGCUUUUUUAGCUCGCACAACGGCCGCCCGGGUGAUGAUGGGUCACUUGGAUGGAAUGCACAAUUACCCUUGCGUUGUCAAUCAAUCAAUGAAGUCAUACUGCGCUGAACCUGAGACUAGCUGCCCCUCUAUGAAGGGUGAUGACGCCGAUGAUAUGAAGCCGCUGACAAAGGGGGGGAGGGGGGGGGUGUUCCGAUGACUAAUGAUUGCGUCUCAAUUCGAGUACAAUUUGUUGCCGUGCUGUCAUAUUGAAGAAACUGAUUGAAUUACAUCACUGCUUGAGCUGUUAAUCAUUUAGUAAGUUACUGUGCAGGAAUUUGAAAGAUGGUGAGAAAAGCAACAAGCAUUUCUGACAUAUGAAUGGAAAUGAGAAAAUAAAGCCAAACAAGAAAAAAGCACUUCAAAAUAACAAACUUGCGUCCAAA